CUGCAGUAUAGUUAAUUCGCAAUGGUUAAAGACAAUAAUCGAUUAAUAGAGUGGAUCGUGGAUAGUGGUAAUGAUGAUUUCGCGGAGUUAAGUGAUGGAUAGUUAAAACGGCGGUACAUUUGUACAAGACAUUUUGCCGAAGAAGACAAGGUAGUGCAAAUAAAGUUGAAGAAGGAUGCCGUACCGGUAUUAUAUGAUUUGCGUGAAAAUAAUGAACAGCCGGCGCCUACGCGUAACAGUCAAUGUCUGCCUUUCUACUUAUCUAUCACAACAAAUACAGUCAGAGGCGAUCUAAGUUUCUAGUUAAAAGACAUUCAGCUAUCCGAUCAACCGUGUCUACGGAGCGAUCUAUAAAAGAAACUAAUCAUGGGAAUAUGGAAUACCAAAUUGGUAGUGGAAAAACCAAUUGCGGGGCCGGCGAUUGCGGAGCCGGCGAUUGAAGGACCGGCGAAUCUUGAGCCGGCGAUUGCGGGGCCACACAAUCUGGAGGUAUCAGUUGUGGAGCCAGUGGAGCCAGUGGAGACCCGUAUAAAGAAAAUAAAAGAAGCAGCACGGCGCCAGGCGAACAAAAAACAUCGAAAAAUGAGAACACAAUUAAGGAGAUACCAGAGGGAACAUAUACAUGCACCUCCGCCGGCCCCCGUCUACGUACCUCCGCCGGCCACCGUGUACGCAUCUUCGCCGGCCCCCGUGUACGCAUCUCCGCCGGCCACCGUUUACGCAUCUCCGCCAGCCACCGUUUACGCACCUACGGCGCACCCAUUUAUGGAACUACGCCGCACCGCCUAUACGUACCACCGCCGCACCGCCUAUACGCACCACCGCCGCACCGCCUAUACGCAUCACCGCUGCACCAGAUGUAUUAUAACCAAUAUUAAAAAAAAAUGUUUUUAAAAUACACUUUUUUUCUUUUAAAUACCUGUCCCACAUUAUAUUUUAAAAAUACAAUUAUUAU